GAUGAAGAACGCAGCGAAAUGCGAUAAGUAAUGUGAAUUGCAAAUUCAGUGAAUCAUCGAGUCUUUGAACGCACAUUGCGCCCCCUGGUAUUCCGGGGGGCAUGCCUGUCCGAGCGUCAUUGCUGCCCUCAAGCACGGCUUGUGUGUUGGGCCCCGUCCUCCGAUCCCGGGGGACGGGCCCGAAAGGCAGCGGCGGCACCGCGUCCGGUCCUCGAGCGUAUGGGGCUUUGUCACCCGCUCUGUANNNNNNGCCGGCGCUUGCCGAUCAACCCAAAUUUUUAUCCAGGUUGACCUCGGAUCAGGUAGGGAUACCCGCUGAACUUAAGCAUAUCAAUAAGCGGAGGA
rnacentral:misc_RNA from 1 species